rnacentral:rRNA from 1 species
AGAGUUUGAUCCUGGCUCAGGAUGAACGCUGGCGGCGUGCCUAACACAUGCAAGUCGAACGAUGAAACCGCCCCCGGGCGGACAUGAAGUGGCGAACGGGUGAGUAACACGUGACCGACCUGCCCCCCGCCCAGGGACAGCCCCCCGAAAGGGGGAUUAAUACCUGGUACUCCGGAAGCGGCGCAUGCCGUCUCCGGGAAAGCUUAUCGCGGCGGGGGAUGGGGUCGCGGCCCAUCAGGUAGACGGCGGGGCGACGGCCCACCGUGCCGACGACGGGUAGCCGGGUUGAGAGACCGACCGGCCACAUUGGGACUGAGAUACGGCCCAGACUCCUACGGGAGGCAGCAGUGGGGAAUUUUGCGCAAUGGGGGCAACCCUGACGCAGCAACGCCGCGUGCGGGACGAAGGCGUCCGCGUCGUAAACCGCUUUCAGCGGGGAACACCUAAACGAGGGUACCCGCAGAAGAAGCCCCGGCUAAAUACGUGCCAGCAGCCGCGGUAAUACGUAUGGGGCGAGCGUUAUCCGGAUUCAUUGGGCGUAAAGCGCGCGUAGGCGGAGCGCUAAGCGGGACCUCUAACCCGAGGGCUCAACCCCCGGCCGGGUCCCGAACUGGCGCUCUCGAGUGCGGUAGGGGAGAGCGGAAUUCCCGGUGUAGCGGUGGAAUGCGCAGAUAUCGGGAAGAACACCGACGGCGAAGGCAGCUCUCUGGGCCGAAACUGACGCUGAGGCGCGAAAGCUGGGGGAGCGAACAGGAUUAGAUACCCUGGUAGUCCCAGCCGUAACGAUGGCGCUAGGGUGGGGGGGGAGAAGACCCCCCGUGCCGCAGCCAACGCAUUAAGCGCCCGCCUGGGGGAGUACGGCCGCAAGGCUAAACUCAAAGGAAUUGACGGGGGCCCGACAAGCAGCGGAGCAUGUGGCUUAAUUCGAAGAACGCGAAGAACUUACCAGGGUUGACUUGCGGCGAAACGGCGGAAAACCCUGGCCCAAAGAGCCCCACAAGUGUGGCAUGCUGUCUCCACCCUGGCCGGAGAAAUUUGGGUAAAUCCCCACAAAAGGAACCCCCGCCCCGGUUGCCCCAUUCAUUUGGGAACCCCGGGGGAUGCCGGUCAACCCCGAGGAGAGGGGGGGAGAACCAAAUUAUAUUGCCCUAUUCCUUGGGCGCAAAUGUAAAUGGCGGGAAAAAGGUUGGACCCCCAGGGGAGGGGUCCCGCAAAGCCGGCCCCAGUUCGGAUCGGAGGCUGCAACCCGCCUCCGUGAAGCCGGAGUUGCUAGUAAUCGCGGAUCAGCACGCCGCGGUGAAUACGUUCCCGGGCCUUGUACACACCGCCCGUC